rnacentral:lncRNA from 1 species
GGAUCAUCCUCUUGCAGCCUGUAUCUGGAUAGCUCACAACAUGCAGUAAGGAGUUUUCAGAGAACCCUCAAGCAAGCCUUUGCCUAUCUCACAUCAGCCAGCACCUUCUCAGGAUAGAUAGGAGGGGUGUGUAUGGUGGCUGCUGCAGCACCACUUCAACAGGCCCUUUUGAAGUACUGGAGCUCUAGUGGCUGUUGCAAGAGUGGAAAAGCUGACACCAAGGCUGCUCUGGGACUCACUGGGGACACUGGUGCAUGUAGAAGACAAUCUAGAUAGGAAGCAAACAAGGGACAACAGUGAAGAACAACAGGACUGAUCAUCCGAUGCUCCUGUGCCAUCCCCUAAACUGGCAGUUUGCUUCUUUAGGUAAGUGCUUGUUUAAAGCAUGUCAAUAUUUCUGGUCCAUCGUGCUUCCUGUUUUAAGUACCUCAAAGCUCUAGCAAAGCUUCAGGU